GAUGAACGCUGGCGGCGUGCUUAACACAUGCAAGUCGAACGAAGCACUUUAUUUGAUUUCCUUCGGGACUGAUUAUUUUGUGACUGAGUGGCGGACGGGUGAGUAACGCGUGGGUAACCUGCCUUGUACAGGGGGAUAACAGUUGGAAACGGCUGCUAAUACCGCAUAAGCGCACGGCAUCGCAUGAUGCAGUGUGAAAAACUCCGGUGGUAUAAGAUGGACCCGCGUUGGAUUAGCUAGUUGGUGAGGUAACGGCCCACCAAGGCGACGAUCCAUAGCCGACCUGAGAGGGUGACCGGCCACAUUGGGACUGAGACACGGCCCAAACUCCUACGGGAGGCAGCAGUGGGGAAUAUUGCACAAUGGGCGAAAUCCUGAUGCAGCGACGCCGCGUGAGCGAAGAAGUAUUUCGGUAUGUAAAGCUCUAUCAGCAGGGAAGAUAAUGACGGUACCUGACUAAGAAGCACCGGCUAAAUACGUG
rnacentral:rRNA from 1 species